rnacentral:rRNA from 1 species
GAUCCUGGCUCAGGACGAACGCUGGCGGCGUGCUUAACACAUGCAAGUCUAACGAGAAUCUGCGGAAAGAGGAUUCGUCCAAUUGAAGCAGAGGACAGUGGCGGACGGGUGAGUAACGCGUGAGGAACCUGCCUUUCAGAGGGGGACAACAGUUGGAAACGACUGCUAAUACCGCAUGACACAUCGGAGUCGCAUGGCUCUGAUGUCAAAGAUUUAUCGCUGAAAGAUGG